AACUUGCAACAAUGUAUCACGUGGCUCUCGCAUCGAUUAAGAACGCAGCGAAAUGCGAUAAGUAAUGCGAAUUGCAGAAUUCAGCGAAUCAUCGAAUCUUUGAACGCACCUUGCGCCCCUCGGUUAUUCCUUGGGGCAUGCCUGUUUGAGUAUCAUGAACACCUCAUCUCUCAUGGCUUGCCAUGAUGAGCUUGGACUUUGGGGGUUUUGUUGGCCUCUGUGGUCAGCUCCUCUUAAAUGAAUCAGCUUGCUAGUGUUUGGCGGCAUUGUGGGUGUGAUAACUAUCUACGCCCAUGGUUGUUUGCCAGGUAACCUUCAGCAGUGGAGGUUCGCUGGGGCUUAUAAAUGUCUCUCCUCAGCAUGAGACAGCAUUUUGAACGUUCGAUCUCAGAUCAGGUAGGACUACCCGCUGAACUUAAGCAUAUCAAUAAGCGGAGGCU
rnacentral:misc_RNA from 1 species